rnacentral:snRNA from 1 species
ACCACUUCUCAGCCUUUUGGCUAAGAUCAAGUGUAGUAUCUGAAAGGACAGAUAAUAACAAGUUCAGGCAAGGAUGUGAAGAAAUUAAUAACCCUUGUACUUCACUGGUUAUAAUAUAUAAUGAAAU